CCGUGAGGGGGAUGAUGUAUUACUAUGAAGCUCUCAAGAUGCUGACUUUUCUUGAAUCUGCAUCUGACCAGCAACAGAGG
rnacentral:snoRNA from 1 species